rnacentral:rRNA from 1 species
UACGAAGGGGGCAAGCGUUGUUCGGAAUUACUGGGCGUAAAGGGCGCGUAGGCGGCUUACCAAGUCAGGCGUGAAAUUCCCGGGCUCAACCUGGGGGCUGCGCUUGAUACUGGUGAGCUUGAAUGCGGGAGAGGAUAGUGGAAUUCCCAGUGUAGAGGUGAAAUUCGUAGAUAUUGGGAAGAACACCGGUGGCGAAGGCGGCUAUCUGGCCCGUAUCUGACGCUCAGGCGCGAUAGCGUGGGGAUCAAACAGG